CUCCUCCUCUUCCUCCUCUUUCUCCCGUGCCGCCGCCGCUUCUACUCACCUUCCUCCUCUUUCUCCCGUGCCUCUGCUGCCGCUCCUCCUCCUUCUACUCCCUACGCUAGCACGGUUGGGUCAUCGGGUGAGCAGCGGCAGGCAUCUGUAGUGUGUCGGAGUGUGCGGAUCAUGACAGCGGCACGCAUCUUGGUGAGGCAGCGGCCACGGCUGCGCCCUCCUCUGCGCUUCCUCUCAAAGUACCCUCUGCUGCUCGUCCUUCGUGUGUUGCCGCACGGUGGAGACAGGUACACGAACUAGGCAGGCCAUGGGACGACAGCUGCUCGAGCACCCACCUCGUGAGGAGGGGUUGAGUACAGCUCCCAGUUCAUGGAGGAGAUGCCAGCACAGGGUUUGGUGGCAGAAGACACUGGAUGCAUGCCCAAGAAGCCCAGCACGGCCGGGUUGACAUUGUUGGAGUAAGUUGCUAUUCUUCAAAGGACCUGUUGUCUUGGAGAAACGAAGGAGUUGUGCUCCAUGGCGAGGAAAAUAAUUUGUCACAUGACCUCCACAAAUCCAAUGUCGUGGAGAGACCCAAGGUGGUCUAUAACAACCGUACCGCCAAAUACAUGAUGUGGAUGCACAUAGGCGAUGCGAACUACACCAAAUCCUCAAUCAGCGUGGCGACGAGUGAUUCUCCCAUGGGACCAUUUACUUAUCUCUACAUCAAGCGCCCACAUAACUAUGAAAGCAGAGACAUGACCAUUUUCAAGGCCUACCUAAUAUAUUCAUCCAAGGGCAACAACGAGCUCCACAUUGCGCAGCUAACCGAUGACUACCUCGACGUGACCGACAGCAUGCGAAGAAUUCUCGUCACACGGUAUCGAGAAGCCCUCGCGCUCUUCAAGUUCCGUGACAUCUACUACAUGAUAACCUCGGGUUACAGCGGCUGAGCACCGAACACUGCAAGGUGAAAUUUUUUUCAGAUGGGAAACUACAUAUAUACUGUAUGCUAUACAAAUAUUGCAACAUACAUGGGUGCCAAUGCGGAUGCCGAUGCUGCCUAUCGUAUGUUGAUAUUAACAUGGAGGAGGCGCAUAUGUUUGUUGAUUCUGUUUCUGGGUUGGCCCUUGAGGGGGAGAGGAAAGCAAACUCCAGCAUGCUUCAGAUUUCUGCUCUUUGGCUGACAAUGGCCCGAAUGGAGGUCAAACUAGCAUUCCCCCAGGACAGACCGCCACUUUCCGUCAUUUCAGUUGCAAAGAUUGCAGGUGUUCCUGUAAUCAUUGAUCCGACCCUUGCCUCAGGUUCAGUGCCCACACUACACUUCAG